AUUAAGAAAAAUGAAAAUAAUAUUCUUAAAACUAAAGCAAACUAAAACAAUAAAAUAAAGAAUAUCCAAAUACAACUAAAAAUAAAAAUAUAGUUUUUUUCCUAAUUAUUGUAUUCUUUGUUGAUUGGAACUGGUCGCUUCCAGUUGCUUGGUUAAAAUCAUUCCCAUAAGCUCGCUCACAGGGAGAUCACUCAGAGUAUAACCCUGAAAACAAAAGCGCAUUUCAACGGAUCCAAUCGCUCUUUUUUUUUCUUGGAUAAGAAUAAAAUAAACAAAACCCCAUUUUCUUAAUUAAUCCUCGCGGGUAGAUUGAUUUUUGAUUGAUUCUAUAUAAAUAGAUAUAAAAUACAAAAUUUCUAUUUAUUCUAAAUCUAUAAUUUCGAAUUUAUAUUUAGAAUAAAUAGAAUUUCGAAUUAAAAGUUUUUUUUAUUUCAAAAAUUCUAAUAAAUAUUAGAUAUUAGUUAGAUAUUAGAAUUCCUUUUAUUUAGAAAAAUCCGAAAUGAAG
rnacentral:lncRNA from 1 species